rnacentral:snRNA from 1 species
UUGGAAGCCUCGAUCUCUCAAUCGAGGUU